GUGCCAGCAGCCGCGGUAAGACGAAGGGCGCAAGCGUUAUCCGGAAUUACUGGGCGUAAAGGGCGUCUAGGCGGCCAGUCAAGUCGACGUUGAAAUUCCUCGGCUAAACUGAGGGAGGUACGUCGAAACUGACCGGCUAGAGGGACGUAGAGGUAAGCGGAACUCUCGGAGUAGCGGUGAAAUGCGUAGAGACCGAGAGGUACCCCGAUGGUAAAGACAGCUUACUGGGCGUCUCCUGACGCUGAAGCGCUAAGGCCAGGGGAGCGAAGGGGAUUAGAUACCCCCGUAGUCCUGGCUUCAAACGAUGUGGGCUUGGUGUCGGCCCCCUAUAGAGGGUCGUUGCCGGAGUUAACGCGUUAAGCCCACCGCCUGGGGAUUACGUCCGCAAGGAUGAAACUCAAGGGAAUUGACGGGGGCCCACACAACCGGUGGAGCACGUGGUUUAAU
rnacentral:rRNA from 1 species